rnacentral:lncRNA from 1 species
AUGUUGCUGCAAAUGGCAUUAUUUCAUUCUCUUUUAUAGAUGAGUAGUAUUCCAUUGUGUACAUAUACCACAUCUUCCUUAUCUACUCAUCUGCCAAUGGACAUUUGGGUUGUUUCCACGUCUUAGCUAUUGUAAACAGAGCUGCAGUGGAUGUGUGGGUGCAUGUGUCUUUUUUAAGGAAAAUUUGGUCCACAUAUAUGCCCAUGAGUGUAAUUGCUGGAUCAUAUGGUAGUUCUAUGAAUAGAUUUCUAAUUUACCUCCAUAGGGUUCUGCAUAGUGGCUGUACCAGCUUACAUUCCCACCAACAGGGCAGGAGGGUUCCCUUUUCUCCACACCCACUCCAGCACUUGUUAUUUGUAGAUUGAUGAAUGAUGGCCAUUGUGAGUGGUGUGAGGUAGUAUCUCAUGGUAGUUUUGAUUUGCAUUUCUCUAAUAAUCAGUGAUGAGUGAUGUUGAUCAUUUUUUCAUGUGCUUGUUGGCCUUCUGUAUAUCUUCCUUGGAGAUAUUUUGAAUGAAUACACACACACUCACACACUCUCACACACACACACACCAUACCUUGGGCUGUCAAUGGAAUGCUGGAUCAUAUGACAGGUCUAUAUUAAUUUUCUGAGAAACUUCAAUACUGUUUUCCUUAGUGGUUGUAUCAAUUUACAUUCCCACCAACAUUAUAUGAGGGUUCUCUUUCCUUGUUUGUAGACAUUUUUGAUGAUGGCUAUACUGACUGGUGUGAGGUGAGACCUCAAUGUAGUUUCAAUGUGCAUUUCUCCCAUAAUUAUUUACAUUUAGCAUCUUUUCAUGUGCUUUUUGGAAAUCAUUCUGUCUUUGGAGAAAUGCGUAUUUAUGUCUUCUGCCCAUUUUUCAAUGGAUUUUUUUAUUUUUUAACCUGAACUAUAGGAACCAUUUGUAUAUUUUGGAGAUGAAUCCCAUCAGUUGCUUUAUUUUCAAAUAGUUUCUCUCAUGAUGUGGGUUGUUUUUUCAUUUCUUUAUGGUUUCCUUUGCUGUGUAUAAGAUUUUGAGUUUAUAGGUCCAUUUUUUUUUCCUUUUAGGGCAUGGUGGCAUAUGUAAGUUCCCAGGCUAGGGGUGGAAUUGGAGCUGCAACUGCAAGCCUACAGCACAGAAACAGCAAAGUGGCAUCCAAGCCUCAUCUAUGACCUAUACCACAGCUCACAGCUAUGCCAGAUGCUUAAUUCACUAAGUGAGACCAGAGAUCAAACCCGUGUCCUCAUGAAUACUAGUCAGUUUCAUAACCGGCUGUGCCAAAAAGUAAUUCCAGAUUUCUUUAUUUUUGUUUUAAUUUUCAUUAUUCUAGAGGGUGCAUCAAAAAGGGUUUGCUGCCAUACUUAUCGAAGAGUGAUCUGCCUGUUUUCCUCCAAGAUUUUUACAGUUUCUGGCCUUACAUUUUGGUGUUUAAUCCAUUUUGAUUUUGUUUUUGUGCAUGGUGUUAUAUUGCUUAUAUUCUUGAUAAAGAAUGGCCCACCAGGAGAUGGAGUUUCAAGGUGUAGACCAUAUUUUAAGUUGUCUGGAUGGGAUAAGAAUGAGAGAAUAUCCAUUUGUUCUAGGCAAGAGAAUUAGGGAUCUAGGAGUUCCCACUGUGGCACAGUGGAAGUGAACAAACCCCUAGUCUGGGAAUUUCCAUAUGCCAUGUGUACAGUCCUAAGAAAGGGAAAAAAGAAAGAGAGAAAAGAAGAAAGAAAAUUAGAGCUCUUUAAUACAAGGUUAUAAAUGUGUGAUUGAACAGAUACCUACUUAUGUUAGGACAUAAACUAUAGGAUAAAGAGAAAUGUAGGAAAGGAUCUAGAAUUUUAGUAUAGCUUUGUAAUAUUUUCCUACUUUCUAUGCUAUCUUCAAAGUCCAGGAUGAUUUCAGACUUAGGGACCAAUCUGCCUAAUACAUGGAUGAAUGAAACAUAGCUUUAUCAAAAGAACAUUCUCUAACUGAAGAUUGCAGUCUGUAUUUACUCAAGAGUAAUGACUUGCAAUAAUAACAGCUAACAUUAUAUGACACUUCCCGCUGGCUGGACACUAUUCAAAGCACUUUACCUUUAUUAACAUAUUUAUCCUCACAACAGCCCUUAGAGAUGGAUGCCAUUGCAGAAACACUCUUACUCCAUUUAAAGUUCUGUAAACAGAGUUGCAGAGAAGGUAAGUAACUUUCCCUUAAGCCAUAGUUAAAUGAGCCAGGAUUUGAAGCCUGCCUAUCUGGCUGCAGUUUCCAUGCUUUCCAAACUUAACCUAAACCACUUCAUAUAAGCCAAAGUGAAAAGGUUUCAGGGUGGAACCAUAUUUACAGCACCUAGGAGGAGGCUGCCCAGCCACUCUUAAGCAAAUAGCUGGGAUUUUUCAGAAUUGCCCCAUGGCAAUUGACUCAAGGGAAGAAGGGAAAGAUCAUAGAGACCAGCUGAUAGAUGCACAGGGUUAACCAGCUUCAAAGGGUUUAGAAAAACAUUGAUGAUCUUCACAUGUGGGAUGUACCAUAAGUACAAACAGGAAUCCUGCACAUGAGUUUAACUCAGGUCACAUCUGGCCUGGAUGGAUGAGGAUGCUGAUGAUUUUGGAGAAAUAGCAGAGAGUGAUGGCCUGAAGUGAGAUCUUAAUUCUCUGCUCAGGAAUUGAAGCUGGGAAGCCUGGAUGAAAUAGGAAUAUUAGCCACUCGACCAGCUGGGGACUACCAACUAAUUGCUUUGAUUCUCACCCCCUGUUGAAAGAAAGAAUAUUUAAAACAAGCAAAGUCUGUGAAAACAGGUACAGAGUUUAUUGUUAGAAACACAGUACACUUAGCUAUGUUGUCUGUUUGUCUAAGGCAGAGGCAAAGCAGUAGGAUACACACAAAGGAGGAGUGAGAAUGCAAUCAUCCCCGUCAUUGAGGAUUGCCCCAGAGAAGUGAUUUAAAACACUUAGGGCAGUUUGUCUGGGUCUUUUUUUUCCAUUGGCCAAAGUUCUUGUUUCAUUUUCACACCUGAUCAGACCCAGGCCCUCCCCAAUAUGUGUGCACAUCUUUUGGCCAAGAGGGGUUCCCCACUGGCACUAACAUAGCUUAAGUUUUUAUGGUCUGGUGACCCCUCCCUUUCUGACCCAGAGGAGUCUUUCUGUGCAUGUGAAGUUGAGUCUCCUUCACCCUGAGGAUAGGAAGUGUUUGACCUCUUUAUCUUUGACCCAAACAGGGCUUAGGCCCUAAAUGCCCAUGAUAUUUUCAUUGCUUUAAGUGUCCAAAAAGGCUAAUUACACUUCUUUAACUUUUUCUUCUCAUUUUUAUCUUCAAGUAUAAAUAGGUGGCUGAUAGGAAAUGUUUAUUCCUGAUCCCAUCUAUCUCCUGACUCACGGAGAGUCUGAUGAGGGAGGAAAGUGUCCUCCAUACUCCCAGAGAGACACUGUGAAUUCCCCUGUAAGGGAUAUUAGGCUUUAUUAUCUUCCCUCAGUAGAGCAUUGGCAUGAAUCUACGAAUGCAUAAGGCCAUUGUCCUUAGUUACUAUUCUCUUAGUUAUUAUUAUCCAGGACUAAAGGUUGAACUGGCCAGUGUCUGAACUUCUUCAUUGACAGUUACUGCUGAAGCACACCAGAGAUUAGGAAUACUCCAUACAACAUCCCCAUGGAGUCAUCCUUGCUUGUGUGCUAAAAGGUGAUCCAUUUCUAGAAUUGCAUGUGUUUCUUAGGACUCUGCUAGUACCCAGUGCAUUAGAACAAGAUCACCAGUAGCCAAACUUAGAUGGGGACACUUGGGAAAAUCCAUGAAAAUGUGCUCAUGAACAGGGGACUGAGGAAAAUAGGAUAGGGGAGGGGAAGAAAAAAAAACCUUAUCCUGGUCCUCAAGGGACCUCUCUCUGGAACAUGAAGAACACACAGAGUUGGUCCCCCUGGAGAUGAAAGGGCUCAAUUUGACCCUACCCCCUGCCAGAUACCAGUUUCUGGUGAUAGCAUAGGAUUGUGACUUCUCGAAUAAGGCAGUAUGUGCCUGGAUAGGGGUAAUGCCCUGUGAAGGAAGCAGCUAUGAACCCUUAGCAACUACACUCAGCCACCAGGAAAGAGGCACCACAGUGAAGGAAACCAGGUGCCACCAAGAGCCUCCACCACAGAGCUUUAAAGGGAAGGACAAAAACCAGUGGAGUUUGGAGUUCCCUCAAGGCUCUGCAGGUUAAGGAUCUGGUUUUUUCUCUGUUGUGGCCCUGGUUACAACUGUGCAGGUUCAAUCCAUAGCCUGGGAAAUUCUGCAUGUCAUAAGAAUGGGAAAAAAGUGAAAGAAAGAAAAAAAAGAAAGUAAAUUCCCAUUGUGGCUCAGCUGUAAGGAGCCAGACAGAUAUCCAUGAAGAAGUGGAUUCCAUCCCUGGCCUCCCUCAGUGGGUAAAGGACCAGGCAUUUCCAUGAGGUAUGGUGUAGGUCACAAAGGCAGCUUGGAUUUGGCAUUGCUGUGGCUGUGCUAUAGACCAGCAGCUGUACUUCUGUUUUGACUCAGCCCUGGAACUUCCAUAUGUGGCAGGCCUGGCACUAAAAAUAAAAAUAAAACAAUGGAGCUCAAAAAACUUAGAGGAAGGGCUACGAGCCAGACUAGAAGGAGCAAGCACUGUCUCAAAGUUAGCUUAAGCCCCCUAUUCGCAGUCCCCACUGUGGGCCUGGGCCUCUCAUGCAAGGGAAUGGUUCAGCCCAUGUAGCCAUUGGAGUGAGAGAUUCAUGGUCUAAAAGUGUAAAUGAAUACCCGAGUCUUUAUCCAAAACCUGCUAUCUCCCCCAUGUGGGAAACCAAUGGGCUCCUAUAUACUGGAGCUGCAUGUCCCUCUGUGCCACCUCUUCUCCUCAGACCAUUUCUUCAGAGGAAACAUGUUGGUGGGUGGCAGGGCAAGGUAGGUGCCAUUCCAAACCCCCAGCCUCCCAAGAAGGAAUAAAAUGCAGCUUGGUAAGGAACCCAGAAACUUCCUACAUAGACUGACGAGAUAGACUGUUUAUCCUGCCCUUGGCUGGGCACAGCCAUAAGCCAGGCAUUACAGUGCCUCUAAAGGAUUGUGUGUAUUUAACAGAAAAGAGUUGUUUCCUUUAUUUCUAUCAUUUUAAGAAAGAAGCUGACUGGGUUUUUGUUCCUUUGCUUGAUUCCAUAUGGAAGAGAAUUAUCACCACUUGCUUAGAAGAAGGAGGUGCCACUUUCUCUUUGUAUUGGCCCCAAAACACACCACACCACACAUGCACAAGUAUAUAUUUGCAAAGGGGUUCAAAUGCAGGUAUACAUGUAUAUAAGCAUGCACACACACGUAUCCCUUCCUUUGUGCUUUUUGUUCUGGCUUUGGGAGACAUGGCUAAAGCCAAGAGGCCUCAUUGGAAACAUGGUGCCCCAGUCUCCAUCUCCAGGUGUUCCCAAGCUGCCCCCACCAAAGCUGGCCAAGGUCCACUCAAAUACUCAACAAAUCCAGUUGAGGUACUAGAACAAGUGUUUCAUCUGUUCUUCUGAAAUCCAUUCAAUCAAGAUGUUCUAAUUCCUCCAAAUGAAAAAAUAUGUUUUUAUUCCAUGCAAAUCCCCCUGUACCACCAUAGCCUUAAGGCCUGAGGAGACUGACCCUGCAUGAUCAUUCAGUGCCAAAGGCAAAAGAAAGUGGCCAGUCCCAGCCUUAGCACUGGGGCACUGAGGAUGUGAGUGUGAGUGUGAGGGCCUGGCUGAGGAGGCAUGGCCUGGGCUGGAUAUAGAGUGGGUAUCCAGCUCCUUAGCCUAUGACUAGAUGACUGGGGAGGGUUUUCCUGAGGUCUUUCGUCCUGGGCCUGGGUAGCUGGUACAGGAUGAGGCCAAUGAUUGCAGGGCUGGCAGUGGGGGAAGAUGUCCUUCACUUGUGUUUUCGGAAGAUGAGUGUGUGGCUUCUGGCUCUCAUUUAGCUGUUGGAGGACUGAGGAAGGGUUGAGAAAGAAGGCCAUUUUAAUACAUAUCUCCCUUCACACAGGACCAGAGUUCAGGACAAAAAUACACUGAUUCUUUUCAUGUCUUCCAAGAGAGCAAAUACCAUGGUGUUCUCAACAGUUGAGAGAAUGAGUUAUAGCAGUCUAAAAAAAGGUGCUGAGAGGUCCAUACUGGAAAUGACCUGGAAGGUUUUCCCUCCAUCCUUUACAAGUAUUUCCUAGAGGAUUACAUCCUCAGUUCUCUAUCAUGGCAUGUGGACUAGGUAGAGAAACUCAGAGACACAGUCUAGGCCAGCAACCCCUUUAAGGAUUUUGGCUCAUGGUGACCCCAGUCAAUCUAAGUAUCUUCUCUUUUCUUUAUUUUCUUUCCUUUACAAAUUAUUGUAAAUGGUAGAAUUUCCAGGAGUUCACAUUGUGGCACAGCAGAAAUGAAGCUGACUACUAUCCAUGAAGUUGUAAGUUCCAUAUAUGGCCUCAUCACUGGGUCAGGAACCAAGGUUGCCAUGAGCUCUGGUGUCCAUCUCAGAUGUGGCUUGGAUCCUGCAUUAAUGUGGCUGUGGUAUAUGCCAGCCUCUGUAGCUCCAGCUUGACCCCCAGCCUGGGAGCUUCUAUAUGCCACAGGUGCAGCCCUAAAAUACAAAAAAAGAAAAA